rnacentral:lncRNA from 1 species
CUCAAAUUCCCUUUUCUCUCAAAUGCUCUCUAAACCCUAGCCGCCUACUUUCGUCUCUGAUAAAAAAUCCACUGGCGUCCAUGGCUUCUCAGGCCAUGAACAUCCUAUAUUCUCUCCCCUUUCACUCCAAGCCAUGAUUAUUCGAGUUUUUAAGGCUCAACCUUCAACAGACCUGUUCAGGUCCUCCGCCGACCUGAGCUCCUUUGGCUUCUCCGGCUCCGUUCCGGUGUGUUGGAGCUCUGAAAAACUUAUCCAUGGUCUAGAUUCAUUCAGAGACCAGACCAUUCCAGGCCUUCCCAUCUUUACAGUUUCUGAUAAACCCUAAAAAUCUUGAUUCGAGGUUUUUCUUUUCUUGUUUUCUUAGAUCUAUAGCAUAUAUGUGCUCUAUUUUGUGUUUUAACGAUUUCCCCUAAUUUCCUUCUUAAAAUUAGUCUGUUUAAAUUAGAGUUUUCAAAAAUCCUAAAAACGAUUCUUCUUCUUCUUUCUUUGUGAAAAUCUGUGUGUUCGUGCCACGCUUUAGGGGUUUUCAUUUGUUUCCUGUGAUUUGCUCUUAAUAUGCUUGCUCCUCUGCCUUUCUUCUAUCACUACUUCUACUGAUUUUUCUAUAAGUAAUUCUUGCCUGCCAUUUUUACUAUUUCCCCUACUGAAAGUGUUUACUUUUACUGUAUUUAUUUGGUUUAUGAACUUGCUUCUUUACUGCUUCCUAAAUUUCUAUGGCAUCUCCUCUGUGAAUUGUUUUGAUUUGAGUUUUUCUAAAGAACUUGUUCUUCACGAACUUUGUCACUCUAUUGUUUCUAAUUGCAACGUAUGAUUUCCCUGGGCUUAUUGUGAGAAUUUUCUUUCUCUUUUGUGUGUCCUACUCGGACUAAAACCAGG